rnacentral:rRNA from 1 species
AUUGAACGCUGGCGGCAGGCCUAACACAUGCAAGUCGAGCGGAUGACGGGAGCUUGCUCCUUGAUUCAGCGGCGGACGGGUGAGUAAUGCCUAGGAAUCUGCCUGGUAGUGGGGGACGACGUUUCUAAAGGAACGCUAAUACCGCAUACGCCCUACGGGAGAAAGCAGGGGACCUUCGGGCCUUGCGCUAUCAGAUGAGCCUAGGUCGGAUUAGCUAGUUGGUGGGGUAAUGGCUAACCAAGGCGACGAUCCGUAACUGGUCUGAGAGGAUGAUCAGUCACACUGGAACUGAGACACGGUCCAGACUCCUACGGGAGGCAGCAGUGGGGGAUAUUGGACAAUGGGCGAAAGCCUGAUCCAGCCAUGCCGCGUGUGUGAAGAAGGUCUUCGGAUUGUAAAGCACUUUAAGUUGGGAGGAAGGGCAGUAAUCUAAUACCUUGCUGUUUUGACGUUACCGACAGAAUAAGCACCGGCUAACUCUGUGCCAGCCGCCGCAGUAA